rnacentral:piRNA from 1 species
UAGUGGAUCACUAGAACUUAGAGGAGACAA